AUUGAACGCUGGCGGCAGGCCUAACACAUGCAAGUCGAACGAGUGGCGGACGGGUGAGUAAUGUCUGGGAAACUGCCCGAUGGAGGGGGAUAACUACUGGAAACGGUAGCUAAUACCGCAUACCAUCGGCUUCUCCCAGAUGGGAUUAGCUAGUAGGUGUGGUAAUGGCUCACCUAGGCGACGAUCCCUAGCUGGUCUGAGAGGAGGACCAGCCAAACUGGAACUGAGACACGGUCCAGACUCUUACGGGAGGCAGCAGUGGGGAAGAUUGAACAAUGGGCGGAAGCGUGAUGCAGCCAUGCCGAGUGUAUGAAGAAGGCCUUCGGGUUGUAAAGUACUUUCAGCGGGGAGGCGUUACCAGCAGAAGAAGCACCGGCUAACUCCGUGCCAGCAGCCGCGGUAAUA
rnacentral:rRNA from 1 species